UACGGGGGGGGCAAGCGUUGUUCGGAAUUACUGGGCGUAAAGGGCUCGUAGGCGGCCAACUAAGUCGGAUGUGAAAUCCCCAGGCUUAACCUGGGAACUGCAUCCGAUACUGGAUGGCUUGAAUCCAGGAGAGGGAUGCAGAAUUCCAGGUGUAGCGGUGAAAUGCGUAGAUAUCUGGAGGAAUACCGGUGGCGAAGGCGGCAUCCUGGACCGGCAUUGACGCUGAGUGAGCGAAAGCUAGGGGAGCAAACGGG
rnacentral:rRNA from 1 species